UACGAAGGGUGCAAGCGUUACUCGGAAUUACUGGGCGUAAAGGGUGCGUAGGUGGUCGUUUAAGUCCGUUGUGAAAUCCCUGGGCUCAACCUGGGAAUGGCAGUGGAUACUGGACGGCUAGAAUGCGGUAGAGGGUAGUGGAAUUCCCGGUGUAGCAGUGAAAUGCGUAGAUAUCGGGAGGAACACCUGUGGCGAAGGCGGCCCCCUGGUUGGAUACUGACGCUGAUACGCGAAAGCGUGGGGAGCAAACAGG
rnacentral:rRNA from 1 species